AGCUUUGUAGCCACCUCUUCUUUUUCUAACAGGUUGCAUCAGAGUAGACUUGUUAUGCUUUUCCUUUAUUCUGUCAUAUUUAUGUAGUGUUAAAAUUAUGGAAUAAUAAACAUAGCAACGAGUUUCAACUAACGAUCCAUUGAACUCGUUGUCUGAUUACUACCUACAGUGACAUGUCUGGGUGUUUGCAAAAGUUUCUUUUUUAAAAUUUGAGUUUCCUUCUAAAUCAGCUUUCGGACACUAAAAAAUGAAAGGAAAGGUCUGGAAAUCAAAUAAGCCUUCAGCUUCCUCGUGGAGCAGAUGACCUGUAAUCAUCCUGGUCUGUGGCAAACUGAAUUUAAAGUGAUGUGGCUAAAUAGGAGCGUGAAUAAAGCAGAGAUUCAGUUAUGCUAAAUUCACUCCGGCAUUGUCUGAAUGUUGUGACACGGAGUCUGAGAGGGCCACGCAGAGAAACAUGCUGCUGUUCCCUUUAUAGUCUGAUUAGCUAGCCUCCUGUUACCGUGUGUAAUGUGUAGUUAUCAUUAAGAACAAAAACCCACUGAAGUUGAGUCAAACUCACUUGAGAUGUUGGUCCUUGCACACCUGCCGCCGAUCAUAAGGCCGUGCUCUUACUUUGCAGUAGUGUUGAUCAACACGGAGGCGCGCACGGGUUGGAUUGAAGGCUACCAGUGCACACAGAGCAGCUAAUGAGGAGCAAUGUGAGGAACAGAUCUGAUCCAUCGUCACCAUCAUACCCACCGUAUGUGCACACGGGCUCAUGACCCACUACAGAUUACUGUUUUGAAGCUUUGCUGACCCGGGCCCUGUUCUUCACACGUGUGGGGUGACUAAAACCAGCUACAUGCUGCUAUCAGGCUAAAACAGAGCAAAUUGUCGCACAGUUAAUUUCAUCUGAAAGCAUUCUGAGGACUGAUAACCUCGGAUGAAGUUCUCAGUGCGUGGAGCUGGAGCCGGAACUCCAAUCAGCACAGUAGCUUUCAAAUAGUUCUGCAGGUUAAUUUAGGAUUUUUAGUGUUUAAGAAGAUACAUUGUCAUUCUGAUGUCUAUCUUUUAAUGGGUUGUGCGUUCUUUUUGGGUUUUUUGUCAUGCGUAGAUACAGUUAAGAUUAAAGAUGCAGUUAUGGAUUUUAUUAAGACAUUUGGAUCAGAAAAUGAGUGCAAAAGUGGGAUUCCACAACUCUGGCUUCAAAGAACCGAAACAGUCCAGGUCUCGUAUCAAAUUAUCAGCUAACCUUGAACGACUUGAGGCGUCCACACGCGGAGAACGGGGCCCCGGUUUGUGGUGUGUGAGGUGGGGAUGUGUGGAAACCUUGAUGCGGGUCUGCAAGGAGACGGUAACUGUUAACUGCAGUCUCAUCCUGUGUGUGCGUGAGGGCAGUUUAUACUGACAGCUGUCCUACAGCAUCAACAUGAUCUUAGACUAUGCUGUGCUACAUUAAAUAUCAGCAGUCUUUCAGGCCUCUGACUCUGUGUGUCAUUUGCAUCAGCAUGGAUCUCACUCGCUGCGCGCAUCAUGCACUCACCUGGUCAGGAGGUGCC
ensembl:lncRNA